CAGCAGCCACGGUAAUACCGAGGGUGCAAGCGUUAAUCGGAUUUACUGGGCGUAAAGGGCGCGUAGGUGGUUAUGUAAGUGAGAUGUGAAAGCCCCCGGCUCAACCGGGGAGGGUCAUUGGAAACUGGGAAACUUGAGUGCAGAAGAGGAGAGUGGAAUUCCACGAGUAGCGGUAAAAUGCGUAGAUCUCGAGAGGAACACCAAUGGCGAAGGCAGCUUCUUGGUCCAUUCCUGACGUUCAUACACGAAAGCGUGGGGAGCAAACAGGAUUAGAUACCCCUGUAGUCCCUGUCUCUUAUAC
rnacentral:rRNA from 1 species